rnacentral:rRNA from 1 species
AGCAGCCGCGGUAAUUCCAGCUCCAAUAGCGUAUAUUAAAGUUGUUGCAGUUAAAAAGCUCGUAGUUGAAUUUCGGGAUCAAUAUGUCGGUCGUGCCUCGGUACGUACUGGCGUCAUUGGUUUCUCCCUUCUGAAGAACCACGAUGUCAUUAAUUUGGUGUCGUGGGGAAUCAGGACUGUUACUUUGAAAAAAUUAGAGUGUUUAAAGCAGGCUCGCGCUUGAAUACAUUAGCAUGGAAUAAUGAAAUAGGACGUUUGAUUCUAUUUUGUUGGUUUCUAGGAUCGACGUAAUGAUUAAUAGGGAUAGUUGGGGGCAUUAGUAUUCAAUUGUCAGAGGUGAAAUUCUUGGAUUUAUUGAAGACUAACUACUGCGAAAGCAUUUGCCAAGGAUGUUUUCAUUAAUCAAGAACGAAAGUUAGGGGAUCGAAGACGAUCAGAUACCGUCGUAGUCUUAACCAUAAACUAUGCCGACUAGGGAUCGGAUGAUGUUAAUUUUUUAAUGACUCAUUCGGCGCCUUACG